GACGAACGCUGGCGGCGCGCUUAACACAUGCAAGUCGAACGGAAAGGCCUGCUUUCCCUUGUGGAUUGCGGGUACUCGAGUGGCGAACGGGUGAGUAACACGUGAGUGAUCUGCCCCCAACUUGGGUAUAAGCCUGGGAAACUGGGUCUAAUUCCCGAUAGGACUGCAGGGUGGUGCCUGUGGUGGAAAACGAUUUUCUAGUGGUUGGGGAUGAGCUCGCGGCCUAUCAGCUUGUUGGUGGGGUAAUGGCCUACCAAGGCGGCGACGGGUAGCCGGCCGGAGAGGGGGGACGGCCACAUUGGGACUGAGAUACGGCCCAGACUCCGACGGGAGGCAGCAGUGGGGAAUAUUGCACAAUGGGCGGAAGCCUGAUGCAGCGACGCCGCGUGGGGGAUGACGGCCUUCGGGUUGUAAACUCCUUUCGACCGCGAGGAAGCCACCUGGUUGGAAGGGUGGUGACGGUAGUGGUAGAAGAAGCACCGGCUAACUACGUG
rnacentral:rRNA from 1 species